rnacentral:lncRNA from 1 species
CAAACUUGAAGUGUUUACGGUCUAGGGUAGAUGUCCAACAGGGAGCAGGGACUAUCAAUCUGGAACUCAGAGACGAAACCAUGGAGUGACAGCCUGGACCCCAAAAUUGGCCAGAACCAGAAAGGCCGUUUGGCAUGAAGACAACAUACAGCAUACACACACACGAAAGGUUUAACAGAGAGUUCAGUAAUUAUAAAAAUAACACAGUAGAAAU